GUAUUCCGGUAGACGAUGGGGAUGCGUUCCAUUAGAUAGUAGGCGGGGUAACGGCCCACCUAGUCUUCGAUGGAUAGGGGUUCUGAGAGGAAGGUCCCCCACAUUGGAACUGAGACACGGUCCAAACUCCUACGGGAGGCAGCAGUGAGGAAUAUUGGUCAAUGGGCGAGAGCCUGAACCAGCCAAGUAGCGUGAAGGAUGACUGCCCUAUGGGUUGUAAACUUCUUUUAUAAAGGAAUAAAGUCGGGUAUGGAUACCCGUUUGCAUGUACUUUAUGAAUAAGGAUCGGCUAACUCCGUGCCAGCAGCCGCGGUAAUACGGAGGAUCCGAGCGUUAUCCGGAUUUAUUGGGUUUAAAGGGAGCGUAGAUGGAUAUUUAAGUCAGUUGUGAAAGUUUGCGGCUCAACCGUAAAAUUGCAGUUGAUACUGGAUAUCUUGAGUGCAGUUGAGGCAGGCGGAAUUCGUGGUGUAGCGGUGAAAUGCUUAGAUAUCACGAAGAACUCCGAUUGCGAAGGCAGCCUGCUAAGCUGCAACUGACAUUGAGGCUCGAAAGUGUGGGUAUCAAACAGGAUUAGAUACCCUGGUAGUCCACACGGUAAACGAUGAAUACUCGCUGUUUGCGAUAUACUGCAA
rnacentral:rRNA from 1 species